rnacentral:sRNA from 10 species
GUCACAUCGGUUAAGUGUGACCCUCGUGCACGAGUGAGCUCUAGCUAGAGAACUAUUAGGUCGCCGACGGGCGGUUAGGCGUGGUUGGGGCCACGGCUUUUGAUAUAUGUAUGCGUGGCUAGGCCACCAGAUGAUUACACGGUUACGACCAUUUGAUUCUCCGAUGUCGGCCAACAUCGUGAGACUGCCAUGGCACAUGGGAAUUCGGUGGAAACGAUACUCCCGGAUGUUAUUACGUGGUAGCGAGACCACGGGUUUAUUUUCAUUCCUUACUCGAGAGUGGCAUCUCUGGGUUUUCAAACUCAUAUUUCUUUGCAUGACAAGGAUCGACUUAACGAAUAAUCAUCAACGCGUUCGGUCUACCGCAAAUAGGUAAAGGCAUCUCAUGGCCUUUUAUUCCGAGUCACUCUGCUGUUAGAGAUUGAGUUAUGGUACUUUGGUUUUACUAUGUAAACAAAUAUUAGUUUUGAUAAAACAUAAAUUUUAAAUUAUUGAACUCAAUGUAUUUAAUUGUGAUAUCAUGACUUAAAGUCAAAAUUUAAUGGCUA